rnacentral:rRNA from 1 species
GGGUUGUAAACCUCUUUUCACAGGGAGGAGUAAGGACAGUACCUGAGGAAUAAGCCACGGCUAACUACGUGCCAGCAGCUGCGGUAAUACGUAGGUGGCUAGCGUUAUCCGGAUUUAUUGGGCGUAAAGAGGGCGCAGGCGGCCUGGUAAGUCGAAUGUGAAAUCUCCCGGCUUAACUGGGAGAGGUCAUUCGAUACUAUCAAGCUGGAGUGCGACAGGGGGAGGUAGAAUUCCCGGUGUAGUGGUGAAAUGCGUAGAUAUCGGGAGGAAUACCAGUGGCGAAGGCGGCCUCCUGGGUCGUUACUGACGCUUAAGCCCGAAAGCGUGGGGAGCAAACAGGAUCAGAUACCCUGGUAGUCCACGCUGUAAACUAUGGACACUGGGUAUGGGGAGUAUCGACCCUCUCUGUGCCGAAGCUAAC